UUGACAGCCCUGGAAACUGAAGACCUCAGUUUAUCCACAGUGCAGAAAGAGCACAGGCAGAGACAUCGGCGGUGACUGAAACUUCACCUGGGAGAAACGAGCUCUUUGUCCUGUCUCUUCUGUCCACAGCUCUG
ensembl:misc_RNA